rnacentral:misc_RNA from 1 species
AAAGGAAGCAUGAGAGUUUAGCACAGGUGUGUAUAUGUAUGCCCAUAUGGGCAUAUUCAACCAUAUUAAGACAUAGAAUAAGGGAAUUGGCUAGAAAUGUAAGGCAAAAGAAAUGUCGAUGUUUGUCAAUUGCAUGUUUUUCUUCACAGUGACAACAACUCACUUCAAAAUGAGAGUCUGAGGUUCAAAAGUUAAUGGAAAUGAGCAUUAUUUUCAAAGACACCUUUCUGUCUUGUGUGAGGAAUGCAAAAAAUACAAGCACUUAAAAAUUUCACUCUUCUGUUAUCAAUGGGCAUAGCAACACAGCAAGAAAAAUCAUAAAACAAAUCAGAUAGAAGGCAAAAUUAAUGAAAAAGAGCCAUCAACAGGCCACGCUUAGCAUAAGCAAGAGCUAUUGCGUGAGACAGUCCCACACAUAUUUGAGGUUUAAGGUGAAAAAUGUAAAGUAAAAAUGGAGCAUUGGAGUAGCAAGAAAGAAAACAGGUCUCUUAGAAUAUUGAUCCAAUCAUGAAAAGACCAAUAAAUUGCUAAGCUUAUCUCAAAAUUUUCCUGCUGUUGCCUACCGUAUCUGUUUGGGAAAUUCAAAACCUAGCCUAGUUCAGUUUCAAAUGUCUCCAAAUUAAUAAAGUAGAAAACGCCAAAUGCCAAACGCCAAAUUUGUUCUCUCAUAUUAGAAAAAUCAGUUUUGAGCUUUCCAUACAAUCUUCAACAAACGCACAUGAACAAAUAUAGCCCCUGAAUUCCAGAACCCACAAUACACAAAUCUAAAUAGAAACAAGGAAUGAAAGGAAUAAAUUGCACUUAAAAACAGGAGUUA